rnacentral:lncRNA from 1 species
CGGCCGCCGGAGCCGCUAGGCGCAGAGGCAGGCUGGCACCUGUGCAGUGGGAGAGAGUUCUUGUCACUGGUGACUCAUCGUGCAGGGAGCACAAGGAAGAGCAAGGGGAUAGUGUCUCACAAGUGUAGGGCUGGAGCUACAGGAACCAUCCAGGUGCACUGGCUUGGCCUCUGCAUCUUUCUGUGCCACUGUCUCAUUCUGUUUCCGGCUGUGCGUGGAUGCGGAUGGCCCAGAGAGGGAAGGUGCACAGUUAUCUGGUGUUUGGACCUCCUCCUGGCUGAAGAUGAAGGCCCAAAACAGGAUCUUUCCCCAAAGCUGUGUUGCUUUGGCCAGGAAGGUGGCCGGUUGUCUGGAGCCGAAGAUGGCGCCGCCUCAGAAGCUCUGUGGCUCUCGCCUUUCCCAGAAACGGCUGGCCUCUGUAUUCCACACCCUCACCAGUGUAGCCUGCCCUCCGCGGAGUCCCGGAGCCAAGGAGACUUCUGCUGCGGCCUGAGGCAGAAACCUCUCGGGCUGGGCGGACCCCUUUGCUCUCACCAGGAAGGUGGCCGGUUGUCUGGAGCCGAAGAUGGAGCUACCUCAGAAGCUCUCUGGCCUUUUUUUUUUUUUUUAGUUGUCUUUUAUUUUUACAAAGCUGGAGACCAAAGUUGGGCUCUUUUCCAGGUCA